GCUAUACUUGCAGUCGAACGAACUCUGGUAUUGAUUGGUGCUUGCAUCAUGAUUUACAUUUGAGUGAGUGGCGAACUGGUGAGUAACACGUGGGAAACCUGCCCAGAAGCGGGGGAUAACACCUGGAAACAGAUGCUAAUACCGCAUAACAACUUGGACCGCAUGGUCCGAGCUUGAAAGAUGGCUUCGGCUAUCACUUUUGGAUGGUCCCGCGGCGUAUUAGCUAGAUGGUGGGGUAACGGCUCACCAUGGCAAUGAUACGUAGCCGACCUGAGAGGGUAAUCGGCCACAUUGGGACUGAGACACGGCCCAAACUCCUACGGGAGGCAGCAGUAGGGAAUCUUCCACAAUGGACGAAAGUCUGAUGGAGCAACGCCGCGUGAGUGAAGAAGGGUUUCGGCUCGUAAAACUCUGUUGUUAAAGAAGAACAUAUCUGAGAGUAACUGUUCAGGUAUUGACGGUAUUUAACCAGAAAGCCACGGCUAACUACGUGCCAGCAGCCGCGGUAAUACGUAGGUGGCAAGCGUUGUCCGGAUUUAUUGGGCGUAAAGCGAGCGCAGGCGGUUUUUUAAGUCUGAUGUGAAAGCCUUCGGCUCAACCGAAGAAGUGCAUCGGAAACUGGGAAACUUGAGUGCAGAAGAGGACAGUGGAACUCCAUGUGUAGCGGUGAAAUGCGUAGAUAUAUGGAAGAACACCAGUGGCGAAGGCGGCUGUCUGGUCUGUAACUGACGCUGAGGCUCGAAAGUAUGGGUAGCAAACAGGA
rnacentral:rRNA from 2 species